UACGUAGGGAGCAAGCGUUAUCCGGAUUUACUGGGUGUAAAGGGAGCGUAGGCGGGAAUGCAAGUCAGAUGUGAAAUCUGGAGGCUCAACCUCCAAGCUGCAUUUGAAACUGUGUUUCUUGAGUGAUGGAGAGGCAAGUGGAAUUCCUAGUGUAGCGGUGAAAUGCGUAGAUAUUAGGAGGAACACCAGUGGCGAAGGCGACUUGCUGGACAUUAACUGACGCUGAGGCUCGAAAGCGUGGGGAGCAAACAGG
rnacentral:rRNA from 1 species